rnacentral:miRNA from 3 species
UGUCUUGCAGGCCGUCAUGCAGG